rnacentral:rRNA from 1 species
AUGGAAGCCGGAGGAGGCUUGGAGGCGGAGGCGGAGGAGGAGCAGGUGAUGAGCGAGGUGCACCUGGGCUGCCCGCCCCGCUUCCCGGGCCUCUACCUCUCCCGCUUCCCUCCCGCCCGGAGGAGAAGCGAAGAUCAUGUGCUCGCCGUGCAGCACGGCGUCACCUCUUCGCUUCGGAGCGUCGGGCUUCAGGUUUGGAAGGCCGCCAUGCUGUUAACUGACUUUGUGUUGCACAAGAGCUUCACGUCGUCUGAAUUCGACGGUGUUAUUACCAUGGAGAUCGGUGCUGGCACAGGGUUGGUAGGGUUGGCACAAGCUCGAGUUGCUAGAAGGAUUUUCAUUACAGAUAGAGGCAAUCAUAUCCUCGAUAAUUGCUUGGCUAAUGUCCGUCUCAACUCUAGCAUGCUAAAGUUUGAUGAAGCUAAAGUCCAUGUACGGGAACUGGACUGGAAAAUGUCAUGGCCUCCGCCAGUGGGUACACAUGAUGCAUCUGAUCCAAGUUCGAUAUACUCAUGGUCUUCAAGUGAAAUCGAGGAGGCUGAGCAAGCCACCCUGCUAUUCGCUGCAGAUGUUAUUUACAGUGACAAUCUGACCGAUAUGUUCUUCGACGCAGUGAGGCAGCUUAUGUCACGUGGUGCCAAGAAGGUGUUGUACUUGACCCUGGAGAAGAGGUACAACUUCAGCCUGGACGAACUAGACGUCGUGCCCAAUGGUUACAAGCAUUUUCGAAGCUUCUUCGCGGUUCAAGAUGGAUGUGGAGGCAAGGACAAUGCUACAUCGAAACCAGGCCUUGUGGGGGAGCAGGUAGACCUUGCGAGGGUUCCUCAGUACAUCAGAGAAUACAACAGAGGCAAGGAUCUGGAGAUGUGGAAGCUCAUGUAUUGGCCAGACUAA